CAGGAGGAGCAGAAGUCUACUUCUGUAAGAGAUAAGUUGAAUGUUGCAGUUAGAAAAGGAAAGUCUUUGAUUCAACAACGUGAUAGUCUGAAACAAACUAUUAAAGAGAUGAGUACCGAGUUGGAGCACUUGAAAUCUGAGAUCAAGCACCGGGAAAAUUCUCUUGCAGAAUAUGAAUUGAAAAUGAGAGACUUAAUUACUUUCUCUGAUAAGGUGGAAGCCCUUGAAUCUGAGAGUUUGUUCUUGAGGAAUCGUUUGGCUGAAAGUGAGCGCAUUUUGCAGGAGAAAGAACAU
rnacentral:misc_RNA from 1 species